UACGUAGGGGCUAGCGUUAUCCGGAAUUACUGGGCGUAAAGGGUGCGUAGGUGGUUGAUUAAGUCUGAUGUGAAAGCCCACGGCUUAACCGUGGAGGGUCAUUGGAAACUGGUCGACUUGAGUGCAGAAGAGGGAAGUGGAAUCCCAUGUGUAGCGGUGAAAUGCGUAGAGAUAUGGAGGAACACCAGUGGCGAAGGCGGCUUCCUGGCACAACACUGACGCUCAUGUGCGAAAGCUAGGGUAGCGAACGGGAUUAGAUACCCCUGUA
rnacentral:rRNA from 1 species